rnacentral:other from 10 species
AUUUCCACUGCUGCACUGAGGGCACACACAUUUUCAGUGGGACUUGGAAUUCCAGAGAAUUGCCUUUGUGAAAAACUGGCAAUAGUUUCUUUAAAUUCCAUCUCUUAGUUUUCCAUAGGAACAUCAAGAAACA